UGACCGAUAGUGAACCAGUACCGUGAGGGAAAGGCGAAAAGAACCCCUGUGAGGGGAGUGAAAUAGAUCCUGAAACCGUAUGCGUACAAGCAGUCGGAGCAGACUUGUUCUGUGACGGCGUACCUUUUGUAUAAUGGGUCAGCGACUUAUGUUCAGUGGCGAGGUUAACCGUUUAGGGGAGCCGUAGGGAAACCGAGUCUGAAUAGGGCGAUUUAGUCGCUGGGCAUAGACCCGAAACCGGGCGAUCUAUCCAUGAGCAGGUUGAAGGUUGAGUAACAUCAACUGGAGGACCGAACCCACUGUCGUUGAAAAGCCAGGGGAUGACUUGUGGAUCGGAGUGAAAGGCUAAUCAAGCCCGGAGAUAGCUGGUUCUCCCCGAAAGCUAUUUAGGUAGCGCCUCGGACGAAUACCACAGGGGGUAGAGCACUGUUUCGGCUAGGGGGUCAUCCCGACUUACCAACCCGAUGCAAACUCCGAAUACCUGUGAGUACUAUCCGGGAGACACACGGUGGGUGCUAACGUCCAUCGUGAAGAGGGAAACAACCCAGACCGCCAGCUAAGGUCCCCAAGUACCAGUUAAGUGGGAAACGAUGUGGGAAGGCUCAGACAGCUAGGAGGUUGGCUUAGAAGCAGCCAUUCCUUUAAAGAGUGCGUAAUAGCUCACUAGUCAAGCGACUCGGCGUCGAUAAUAAGCGGGCAUAAGCUGUUUGCCGAAGCUGUGGGAAUGAAAAUUCGGUAGGGGAGCAUUCCAGCCUGCGUUGAAGGUGUCCUGCGAGGGAUGCUGGAGCGACUGGAAGCGAAACUGUAGGCAUGAGUAACGAUAAGAAGGGUGAAAAACCCUUCCACCGUAAACCCAAGGGUUCCUGAUCAACGCUAAUCGGAUCAGGGUUAGUCGAGUCCUAAGGUGUACCCGGUGUUGCCGGGGAAGCCGAUGGCAAAGCGGUUAAAUAUUCCGCUACCUCGAUGGACGUUAGGCUAAGGCGUGACGCAGAAGUGACACUCCCGCGUGCUGACGAAUGCACGUUAAAGGGCGUAGGCUGGGAAGUAGGCAAAUCCGCUUCCCAUAAAGGCUGAACCCCGACAGUACCCGGAUUCUCACGAUGAAGGGAUAGUGGAGGUAAUCAUGCUGCCAAGAAAAGCGUCGUAGUUUGUCCAACGAGCUCGUACCCCAAACCGACACAGGCGGGUGAGGAGAGUA
rnacentral:rRNA from 11 species